GGCGAACGGGUGAGGAAUACAUGGGUAACCUACCCUCGAGUGGGGAAUAACUAGCCGAAAGGAUAGCUAAUACCGCAUACGACUCUCGGUCUGCGGAUCGGGAGGGAAAGCGAUACCGUGGGUAUCGCGCUCUUGGAUGGGCUCAUGUCCUAUCAGCUUGUUGGUGAGGUAACGGCUCACCAAGGCUUCGACGGGUAGCUGGUCUGAGAGGACGAUCAGCCACACUGGCACUGCGACACGGGCCAGACUCCUACGGGAGGCAGCAGUAAGGAAUAUUGCGCAAUGGGCGACAGCCUGACGCAGCGACGCCGCGUGGGGGAUGAAGGUCUUCGGAUUGUAAACCCCUUUCGGCAGGGAAGAUGGAACGGGCAACCGUUCGGACGGUACCUGCAGAAGCAGCCACGGCUAACUUCGUGCCAGCAGCCGCGGUAAUACGAAGGUGGCAAGCGUUGUUCGGAUUUACUGGGCGUAUAGGGAGCGUAGGCGGUUGGGUAAGCCCUCCGUGAAAUCUCCGGGCCUAACCCGGAAAGUGCGGAGGGGACUGCUCGGCUAGAGGAUGGGAGAGGAGCGCGGAAUUCCCGGUGUAGCGGUGAAAUGCGUAGAGAUCGGGAGGAAGGCCGGUGGCGAAGGCGGCG
rnacentral:rRNA from 1 species